AUCGGGAUUAUUGAGUAGGCAAGGUAUGCAAUUGAAAUUGGUUUUUCACUCAAAAACCUAGCACCAGGGAAAGGACUGUUUCCCUCUAUCUGCCGACCCGCUUCACCACCAGACUUCUCCAGCUCCAGUCCUACGGUGAUAACCCGGUUAUUUGAAGGUUUUCAUGGAGGCUGAAUCUCAAGAUCCUAGACCUCUGGUUAGAGCCACACUUCGCCUUGGAUCAGAAACAUAUUCUGUCAACGCAAACAAGGGUACUCUUUCUGAGCAAUUGAUUUCAAUGAAAGAGGAAAGUAUGAGUAUAUUGAAGGAAUUCAUCACCAAACAUAAUGUUCCUAAUGAUGUCCCCGAUGAACUUGUUGAAAGCUCUUCAGAGGAGGAUACCGAAACCCCUGAGAAGACCCAUGUGAAGUCAAAGAAGACGAAAUUAACAUAAUUAUUCCUUUCUCCUCCUUGGUUUAAAACCCCAAGAGACAAAUGGGAAGCUCCUUCAUUGUGUUAGAACUGUCUUGAACAAUAUCUUGAAAUAGUUAGUACAUUAGAUGUUAUGCAAGAUGAAGUGCUUAUGUCCUUUUCCAUUUGACUUCUGUAUUCUCAAGACUCUGCUUGUCACAGAAUCUUUGUUCAAGUAGUUUGGCCAUGUAAAUUCUAACCACGGAGGAACCGGAGCUUUGAGGUAAAAGACUCGAGCCAGCAAUUGGGUGUUCGCAGCAAGACGACAAUAGAGUGUCGCUGGAAUUAGCAACCGGUCUCAUUGCAAAUUCCCUCUGGAACAUUAUGAUCGCACGUCUGAAUGCCGGUUGGCGAUUCAGUGUAACUUGAACGUGAGAUGAGAGGGGAGGAGAUUUGAUACCAAUAUAGGGGGAGAUAUCACUGGAUUAA